rnacentral:rRNA from 1 species
GACGUAGGAUGCGAGCGUUAUUCGGAUUUAUUGGGCGUAAAGCGUGCGUAGGCGGCUGUUUAAGUCUGGUGUUAAAGCUAGGGGCUCAACCCCUGUGGUGCAUCGGAUACUGGGCAGCUUGAGUGCGGUAGGGGAAGGUGGAAUUCCGAGUGUAGCGGUGAAAUGCGUAGAUAUUCGGAAGAACACCGGUGGCGAAGGCGGCAUCCUGGACCAACACUGACGCUGAGGCGCGAAAGCUAGGGGAGCAAACGGG